rnacentral:lncRNA from 1 species
GAAGCAUCCAUAGCUUAGCGAUUAUGUUCUUAUAGAUAAGGAUUAGACGGAUGAGUACAUGUUUAACAACCAUAACAAACGUUGACUCGUCCACCAUGAAAAUACAGGGAAAGAAGCUCAACCAAACUAAGCUUACAAACAUAACUCCACUUAUCAUGCACGGAGAUGGUAGCAGCUAAUUAAACAGGCUUCCUUUCCGUACAGGAAAAACCAAUGCUGAAGGAAAAAAAAAGAGGACUUACAAAAGGCCCCAGCAAGCGCAACACACAUCCAAUCCCUAAAUACGCCGGCGACACACCACGGUAAUCACAGAAUAAAGGCACAAAUACAUGCCCGAACACAAAGGGACGCAUUCACCAGGUGAGCCGGCCACCAGGAUGAAGCGACCACAUGAGGCGCAGACGUAGCUGAAGCACACCUCCUCCAAACGCAGUCAUCCCCACCAGAAGCCUGGACCGUAGACAGCUUGACCAACUCCCCCAAAUUGCCUCCCACAUCAAUCAGCUAAACAAGGGGAUCGAAUAAUAUACCGCAGCGCAGGAGAGGAACACUCCAACUGUAGGAAAAAAGAACAGAGGGGAAGGAAUGGUAUACCGAGAGACGAAACCGACGAAGAAGGCCGGCCCCAACGCACCGACCAGAGACGGCAGCUGCAACAGGACCGGGAUAGAAGCUCCGUCCCCCUCCGUCCGGCGUCCGCGCAGCUCCAAUACGACCCACAGCAACCUCCACCUCCGCCAACAGCGCCGCCGACGCAGUCGCACAAGCGGCACCCGCGGCGGCCCAACCCCACCAGCAGCAAGAGCGGAAGAGGGGGGGCAGCCGGAACGCUCGCCCCAGAAGCUCCAAAUGCCGCCCAGCACGCCGCAG